GUGCCCGCGUCCUUACCCGCUACGGCGAUCGCCUCCUUCCGGCCCGGUAGGGCCGCCUGUGGGCUGACGAUGUUGGAGGCGGAGUUACCCAUUCUCUGGAAGAGCUGGUGGGCCGUCCUGGUGGCGGCGAGCAUGGAAUAAGACAGAAGUGAUGGUGUGUGACCUCUGAGACUAAGCCAUAGAAGGCAAGGCAGCUUCCUUCUUGCUCACUUUUGGAUCACUCCCUCUGGGGGAAGCAAGCUGUCACAUCAUGAAGAUUCUCAAUCAGCCCAAUGGAGAAGCCCACAUGGUGAGGAAAGGAGGUCUCCUGCCAACGGCCAGCUUUACCAUGGAAUAAUUGAUAUCCAAAAGCUGCACGUAUUUAAUGGAUAAAUUUGAUGAGUUUGGACCCAUGCAAACAGCCGUAAAACCAGCAGCACAAUCAAGGUCGAAGGUUUGUGACAUCGUGCAUCCAACAGCAUUUGCUCCACUUCGUAUCUCUGUGUCGCACUUUGGUUGCAAAGCCUCUACAAACCCAUUUCUGAAGUCAGGUGGUGACACUGAUCACCUGGCAGGCUGAAUAGGAGGAAGCCAGCCUAGCGUUUUCUGCAGAACAGCGCCUGGAAAUGACAUUGGGGUCCAGUGACUGGUGGGAGACCCAGAGCGAGGUGAAGAUCUGGAUUCAGGAAGAUGUUAUGGAUAGUUCUAAAAAUAAAUAUUUCCACCAAGUGUA